rnacentral:rRNA from 1 species
UAAGUGAUCCACCUGGGGAGUACGGUCGCAAGAUUGAAACUCAAAGGAAUUGACGGGGGCCCGCACAAGCGGAGGAGCAUGUGGUUUAAUUCGAUGAUACGCGAGGAACCUUACCUGGGCUCGAACGUGGAAUGACAGUCGCGGAAACGUGAUCUUCUUCGGACAUUCUACGAGGUGCUGCAUGGUUGUCGUCAGCUCGUGCCGUGAGGUGUCGGGUUAAGUCCCAUAACGAGCGCAACCCCUAUCUUUAGUUGCCAUCAGGUAAUGCUGGGGACUCUAAAGAAACUGCCUACGCAAGUAGUGAGGAAGGCGGGGAUGACGUCAAAUCAGCACGGCCCUUACGUCCAGGGCUACACACGUGCUACAAUGGCCGGUACAGAGGGCAGCUACCUGGUGACAGGAUGCAAAUCUCCAAAGCCGGUCUCAGUUCGGAUCGAAGUCUGAAACUCGACUUCGUGAAGUUGGAUUCGCUAGUAAUCGCGCAUCAGCCAUGGCGCGGUGAAUACGUUCCCGGGCCUUGUACACACCGCCCGUCAAGCCAUGGAAGCUUGGGGUACCUAAAGUCCGUGACCGUAAGGAGCGGCCUAGGGUAAAACAGGUAACUAGGGCUAAGUCGUAACAAGGUAACCGUA